rnacentral:rRNA from 1 species
UACGGAGGGUGCGAGCGUUGUCCGGAAUCACUGGGCGUAAAGGGCGCGUAGGUGGCGCAGGAAGUCAACGGUGAAAGUUCGGGGCUCAACCCUGAAUCGGCCGUCGAUACUCCUGGGCUCGAGCACUGUAGAGGCAGAUGGAAUUCCGGGUGUAGCGGUGGAAUGCGUAGAGAUCCGGAAGAACACCGGUGGCGAGGCGGUCUGCUGGGCAGUGCUGGACA